rnacentral:rRNA from 1 species
CGACCGGCGCACGGGUGAGUAACACGUAUCCAACCUGCCUCACUCUUGGACAGCCUUCUGAAAGGGAGAUUAAUACAAGAUGUUAUCAUGAGUAAGCAUUUUCACAUGAUUAAAGGUUUACCGGUGUAAGAUGGGGAUGCGUUCCAUUAGAUAGUAGGCGGGGUAACGGCCCACCUAGUCUUCGAUGGAUAGGGGUUCUGAGAGGAAGGUCCCCCACAUUGGAACUGAGACACGGUCCAA